GCAGUAUUUAAUUUCAAACGAAAACAUCAUCGAAAAUGUUUCAGAAUACUCCAUGGAAUCAAUGGGCAGUGGUUACACCCGUUAUCUAAAUUACACUUUAAAUGAUGUUGGAUCCGAACCUGAAGGAGUUUUAGUUGCUAAGUUGUCCUACAAAGAUUUCGAUGUACCGAUAACUUACAAACUAAGAGAAGUAUUCAACGCAGUUAGCGCUGUUUCCAAUGGAAACUUUGCAGUCAGAUUUUCACCAGACAAUACAUUCAGUUUCAUACAUAAUAAAGGGGGCGUGAUUGUUUGCGAAGCAAUAGCAAAUGUCGAUCAACCAGUCGUUCUUACUUUAAUGAGAGUCAAGGGAGACAAGUCACUUGAAAAGGUUAAUUAUCCAACUAAUUUUGUGAAAAGCAAAUAUUUCACUAGGCUUGAAGCUGUCAUUGCAGAACCAACAUCGGACAUGGAUGGAGAGUAUAUCUGCAAGAUUAAUGUUGGGGAAGAAUCGAAAGAAGAAAUUGCAAGUUUUAAAUACUAUGACGAUGUUCCGCUUACAAUAAAAUUUGUUGACGAGAGGUGGGGAGAACGGAGACGGUUCUAUAGAAUGAAUAUCACGGCAACAGGAUCACCUUUACCAACAAUUCAAUGCAUUAUGGUUAAAUAUUACAAUUGGGAAGCCAUCGAAUUCAGUAAAAUACCAAAUGCUGAUUUUAUACCACGUGAUCUUCUUGUAGCGGAUUAUUCGCUUGUGGAAGAAACUGACGAGCAAGCGGUAAAAUACGUUCUUGUAAUUUCAAAAAAGAAAAAGCGGGAUAUGCGUAGAAAGAAAGUCUUUGUUUGUGUGGCUGAAAACAAGUUUGGAUCCGUUUUCGCACGAAUUAUUUAACAGAGGAUGAAUUUGAGAUCGAUUGUGUGUUUAUCUUUUUACAAAGAUGAAUGCAUCUAAUUAUUUAACUAAAACACUGGCAGACAACAGACACAUGAAAUCGAUUGAUAAUUUUUAUGUUUCAAGCUGACAUGUAUGUACACAUGUGUAAAGGGACUAUUUUCAUUUCUGUCGUCGUUAUAGUUACCAUCUUGACACACAUUCUUCUUCAUUAAAAGUUAUCCACUAA